UUGCAGUGAUGACUGAUUCCAAAACCAUUCGUAGUUUCCACCAGAAGUUGACUAAUGAUGGCCCAAACCUUCCUUGGAUGUCUGAGCAA